AUUGAACGCUGGCGGCAGGCUUAACACAUGCAAGUCGAGCGGGGUGAUGGUGCUUGCACUAUCACUUAGCGGCGGACGGGUGAGUAAUGCUUAGGAAUCUGCCUAUUAGUGGGGGACAACAUCUCGAAAGGGAUGCUAAUACCGCAUACGUCCUACGGGAGAAAGCAGGGGAUCACUUGUGACCUUGCGCUAAUAGAUGAGCCUAAGUCAGAUUAGCUAGUUGGUGGGGUAAAGGCCUACCAAGGCGACGAUCUGUAGCGGGUCUGAGAGGAUGAUCCGCCACACUGGGACUGAGACACGGCCCAGACUCCUACGGGAGGCAGCAGUGGGGAAUAUUGGACAAUGGGGGGAACCCUGAUCCAGCCAUGCCGCGUGUGUGAAGAAGGCCUUAUGGUUGUAAAGCACUUUAAGCGAGGAGGAGGCUCUUCUGGUUAACACCCAAGAUGAGUGGACGUUACUCGCAGAAUAAGCACCGGCUAACUCUGUGCCAGCCGCCGCAGUAA
rnacentral:rRNA from 1 species